CGCCUAAACCCAAGCAAUGGAGUGUGAUACAUUUAACAAGACUUAUGGAACUUGGUAAGUUAAAAGAACUCGAAAUCCAUUUUAAUGCAUCAAAGUGUCUUGUCUUCAGUUGAAGCACUAAAUGUCCGUUUAUAAGUUAAUUCUCGUCAAGAAGUGUAUACUUCCCAGUUAUUCUAGGUAUAAAACCAAAUGGCCCUGGGCCUGAUCUGAUUCUGAAUGUUAAAACUAGUCGUUGAGGCCAUGUAUUGCGUACUUAUAAAUAUAUUAUUGGCGUUAACAACAUCAAAAGGUUCCUUGCCCUUGUCAAAACUAGUGAAAAUAGUAGAUCAGUACUGUAUAAAGGAACACAAUUUCUUAAAUUAAUUUCUUUAUAUUUAUGCAAAACGUUGCAAUUGAUGUACUUCAGGAUUCUUUGUGCUGCAUUUCAUGAGAUGUUAUGAGUUGUUAUCGGUUUUAUUAAAAUACUAAUUUGCAACCGUCUAAAAUUUGUUUAUGAGCAGUUGAAAAAUUCGGCAACAAUCUGUCAUGCUCGCAUGUAUUUCGAAAUUCCCAAAUAACGUAUAGUGGACUAAAACAGUUGUGUUUAUGGUUUGCUAUGGUGUUCUUACGUGCCACCAUAUUACGUAGAGGUCGAUGUUUUGCAGGCUCUAAGGAUGACGCAGUAAUGGGACACUGGUUCCGAUUAACGGUCAAUCACUUAAACUCAAACCAUGAGAACGUAUUAAAGUUGGGCGGUAUUGAAAUUUCAAUACCGGUUGUAUUGAAAUUUCAAUACCGGUUCAGUAAAUGCAGUUUACACCCGUAGCGACUGUAGCGCAAAUGCACAAUCUACUUAACUCCCAUAUUUGGAGUUGUUUACGACAAAUGAAACGCUAAAAUACCGUGGACUUAGAUAGUUUCCAAAUUUUGGCUAAUUAACGAUGUUCUAUAAAAUGUUAAAAUCUAAUUUAGAUAAACUCCUAUUAGAUAAACUAAUGAUAGCCAUGAUACCGGUAUAUCUUACAGUAUACCGCCGAUAACGGUAUACCGGUAUAGCGUCAAAACCAACACCGCCAUACCGGUAUCAACUAAAUACUGUGAAUAACUAAGAAUACCGGUAUACCGCCCAACUUUAGAACGUAUCGAAACACAUAUAGCAAUAUGAUUACAUCAAGGUCACAUGGAACGACAUAGAGCGAAACCUUCUAUAUAUUCAAGUCAACAUGUUAGUAUAAGUUCAUAUAUAUUAACUAUAGGCCAUGCAAUAGCCUGGGUUUUAGCUUUUGAAUCGGCAAAUUAUUCGGUAUAUUUGAGACAUACAAUGUGUAUCAAAAACAGGUAAUCCAAAUUUGGUAUGUUAUUGUGCGUCUAUUACUGGGUGCAUGAACGUAAUUUUUGCAUAGUCAUAAAGAUCAGGGUAUGAGCUGUUGAAUGACGUGUUUUUUGGGUCAUUCUGAGCAAAACAGAACAAAUACGAGAGCGAUCAAAAUUGUCGGUCAAAAUCACAUAUUUUCACCUCCUUUGCCUAAUUAAAGCAGUGCACAACAAAAAAAACACACAAUUAAUCAGGAAUGUCUCAUGGCAACAAAGAGCUUAUAGCAUAAGAUUUUACCAAUAAUUAUUAGUAAUUAUGCAUACUCAGGUCGUUUGUUCAAGUGAAGUGCGUCAUCUUUCAGUCCUAGAUGGAGUAAAUUUUCAAUAAGUUUAGCCUCAAUUCCGAACGGUGAAAAUAUGGGACUUCGACUUGCAAUUUUUAUUAGGCUCAUACUUGCCCCGUUUUGCUUAUAAUGGCACAAAAAAUUGUCAUUCAACAGCUAAGACAUUGCUCUUUAAGACCAUGCAAAAAUUACGUCCAUAAACCACCAGUGUAUAAUUACCACACAAUGAAAGUUGAUUACCUGUUUUUGAUACACCCUGUAUUACUGCAGUUUUAUUUUAAUUGAUUUUCACCAGCUACAUGUAUUGACUGAUAGUGAUGCGUUUCUCUAUUAAUGAAGUGCAGUUUUUCGGUUGCUAUUAUGUAUAGCAAAGCAUCUCCAUUUUCGUCAAAUAUCUACAAAUGUUCUUUAAAAGAUAUUUUAAGAAACUAUAAUAAGACAUCAUACGAUUGGGAAAUUUCUUCAAAUAGAUAUUGUUACAAGGUAAAUAAGUAAUUAAUCGAAGUCUUUACAUUGCUCUUUUGCAACUGAAGGUGAGUGUAUAAAACGUGAAAAACACAUGUCAAUCAUUAUGGGGACUUGUACAAGAUUUUUUACAUUAUGAGCACUUCUCAACAAGUGUUCAUAACAUCAUUCGACUAUUUGGUGAACGCGUAUUUUAAAGCGGCAAUGUCACCCGCUGCGCAUCCGUUCUGCGCAUAGAUCAACUUGAAAAACUUCACCCAACUUUUUCAAGUUUAUCGAAUUUCAAUAUGGCGUCUGACCAGGGCACCAUGAGCCGAUGCACGGAGGUUGAAGGAAAAAUGCUGGUCGAAAAAAGGUGUUUUCGAGCCGAAAGGCGUACAGAAAGUUAUGGGAGAAAGAGCAAAGAGGAUCUAUUUAAGUGCUAAGAUAUUUGAUACGUUGCAAGAGGCCAUAUGAGCAUUCAAGUGACACACUGACUUUGCUGCACAUCUGUUGUCAUUAUUUGGAAUUUCGCAGCAGGUAGGUGGUUUACAAUAUGAUUUUCAAUAUAUUUUGAAGAGUAAACGAAACUAAUGUGCAAUGUAUUUUGCUUUGGUAUUUAAGGAAGUCAACGUCUGCAAAAAUACUGUCAAAACAGCGACGAAAUUCAUUAAUUCAAGCACAACUGAGUCUUCGACUACAAAUUUAUAGAACACAAUGAUUCUCAUGGUUGAAGAACAGGCAAACAUGAGCCAAGGUAUGAAAAUCACAUUCACUUUUAUAUAGGAUGCGCUUUGUAAUGGGAGUAAUAUUAAUAUUCAGUUUUAAAAUACGAUUUUGCAAGGUAUAUAGACAUAAAGAAAAAUUGUAUAAAAAAUUAUAAAAAGAAUUGGUUUAUUUUUAUAUAAUUUACAGCAUUGACCACAGGUGUUAGUGUUGUAUAAUAUUUCAUAUUUCCUGCUUUCAGAACCCCAAACAUCUACACCAUUAAAAAUAAAGGUCAGAUGACAAAACCCUUUCUCAUGUUGAGUCACCUGUACACAAACUACAAAGUCAUGAACCUUUCCAACAACAGAAGGACCAGGCAGUGGGAGGUAAAAGUUGAAAAAGGAUUCAAGUGCAUUACAGUUCUCAUUUCAAAGGUUAUCCAACGGGCAACGGAUUGACUGCAUGAUGGUGACUAUGUCACCCGCCAUGUUUCCUUAAAUGCAAUCGACCCAGGCCACAUUGCUUCCACUGUUGCACACCAGCAACAAAGGACAUACCAAAAGGAAAAAGCUGAUUUUCGCUAGAAAAUUUAUCAAAGGUUCAUGAAUAUCAUCGUUCUCUGUAACACAUAUAAACUCCAGUCACAAAUGAAUAUGUUAAAGUUUUAUUUUGAGGACUACACAAGAGGGGCAAACACGGUGAUUCAUUUUGCCCAAAUAUCCAUGCCGAGCCCAUGUGUGGACAUAAUCCAUACUCCUUAUUCCUCUUCUUAGACUUCUAAUUGCUAGUUUUCUCACUGUGUCUUCAUCCAGUGUAUGAAUAAAUGCCUGUGAAUUUAAUAAUGUAUUUUAUAAUAAAAUAAUGAAAUGACCAUGCAACAGCUUUACCAAUUUCUAACAUCAAAGCAAGAUAAUUGGCCUUAUAUGGGUUUAAGUCAUGCUAUUUGUUUCCAUCACAAAGCCUCGCUUUGGUAUCAAAGCAAAGCUUUUGGUGAGAACAACAAAAUGGCCUGAUACACGGUUUGCAUGCACAACCCCAUAUGCAUUGCAAUUAGCUUCAAUUAGAAGGUUAAGGGGUUGGUUAUUUUUAUUUACUAAAUAGCUAUUAUAGAAAAUGUUAGCAUAUUUCACUUAUAUAAAUAUAUAAUUAUGUUUCAUUUGGCUAAUAUUCAGGCAUCUGAAGUAGGAAAAAUCAGGUCAACAACAAUUUACCAUCGGCAAACAGAUCUACAGCAUGUUAAUUUGCCGCCCAGACAUGAUGUCCUGACAGGUUGGCAAUUCGCCUUUGCCGAAUUAUAUUUGCCGUCCUGAACAAAUAUACUGCUAUUUCCCAUUUGCGCCAUCACUUCCCAAUUAGACUUUAUCACCAUUCAACAGUUUCAACCAAAGUUAUUCAACUUAAAGAUGUGGUACAGUCCAAUCUGCAUAUGUGCACAUAGGAGCCCUCUUUUUAUUAUACAAACAGUUUAUUUAUGUUUUUAUUUCAUUUUAUGUUCUUAUUUUAUGUUCAUUUUAUGUUCUUAUGUUGAUUGUUGUGUCUUGAUAAUUUAUUAUACUCUAGAAUCAUGAAAAUAUAAGUUGUCAAAUAAAAUUCAAUAUUUUGGAUACUGAAAUGUAAACAAAACCUUUGUUUGCAUACGCAUUUGUUUACAUACGGACUGUACCGCAUCUUCAAACAUGUUUAAUAUACCUCAUUUUAAAUUUGUCAAUUUAACAUGUAUUAAUAGAAAUUCACAAACCUUGGCUUAAUAUCAUCGUUUUCUCAGUGUUGCCAGUUGCACGCUGUGUCAGGCCACGACGUACAUGCACUACAUGGUACUUUCGCCAACGUCAUUCUACAACAAAGUAGGAUAAACAGAAAUAUAAUGUGGUAUAAUAUGCAAACACAAAUAAAAGAUACCGUCAAGUACAUUUGAUUCGCAUACAUACCCUACUCUUGCAAGGAGACUGAGGAGUUUUGCGAUUUCCACACUUGACACUUGCAACGCUGGCAGAACACACAACGUUCUUUAAUCUUUGCCUUAAUACGCGGGCAACCUCGCUUACUGUUCUCUUUUCUUUUGGUGGCACAUGAAUUUUUACAACUAUAAUUGUCAACCUGUAUGAAAUGAAGCAAUUGUUUGGUCUUUUCCGGCAAUUUCCGCAGCUGAAAAUGUGAAUAUAUGCACAUUUUUAUAGUUGGAAUGUUGUGAUUCCGAGUGAUUCCGAUCCUUUCCGACAUAUUCCGAAAAUCGGUUUGUUAUGCGCAGAACGGAUGCGCAGCGGGUGACAUUGCUGCUUUAAUACUGCAGUAGUUUUUAGUUUCAAGCAGAAUCAGCUAUAGUGGAAGAAUUUUGCUUUAUGGCUUGUCAAUGAUAUUGUAAUAGAGCUGUGUCCAAAAAACCUAUUAAUGUAGUAUUAGUAUAUUUGGAAAGUCUCUGUGAAUUAUUUAAAUUAUUUGUAAUAAUUUGUAUCGUUUUAACCUAUCUUAUAAAAUCCCAAUUAAUAGAUGCAGAACAUGAUGACAGUUCAUUUAAGAUGUCAUUAAAAUUCUGAUUAUUUCUUCUUGCAGUUUUCAUUCCGAUGCAAUUUUUUGAAAUUGCUUCACCCAAGCAAUGGAGUGUGAUACAUUUAGCAAGACUCGUGGAAUUUUUUGAAAUCGCCUAACCCGAGCAAUGGAGUGUGAUACAUUUAAGAAGACUCGUGGAAGUUGGUAAGUUGAAUCAGCCUUGUCCUCGUCAAGGAUGAGAUCGUAAUGUAUUCUGACGUCAGCUGUCGA